rnacentral:rRNA from 1 species
AUUGAACGCUGGCGGCAGGCCUAACACAUGCAAGUCGAGCGAGCGGCAGACGUGUGAGUAAUGCCUGGGAAUUGCCCAGUCGGGGGGGAUAACAGUUGGAAACGACUGCUAAUACCGCAUACGUUUAGAUUGCCCAGGGGGGAUUAGCUAGUUGGUGGGGUAAUGGCUCACCAAGGCGACGAUCCCUAGCUGGUCUGAGAGGAUGAUCAGCCACACUGGAACUGAGACACGGUCCAGACGCCUACGGGAGGCAGCAGUGGGGAAUAUUGCACAAUGGGGGAAACCCUGAUGCAGCCAUGCCGCGUGUGUGAAGAAGGCCUUCGGGUUGUAAAGCACUUUCAGCGAGGAGGCGUUACCUGCAGAAGAAGCACCGGCUAACUACGUGCCAGCAGCCGCGGUAAUUC